rnacentral:lncRNA from 1 species
UAGUAAAGUAAAAAAUACUAAGAGUAAAGAAUGGAUAAGAAUAAAGUGUAGAAGCAAUUAAUCUACUUAUAUGAGUUGCAUGAUUUACAUAUUGCAUGUUGUGAGGCAAAAGCAUGGUAAUGUUAGUUGCAUGAUUUAUGAUUUUAUGUCUAUCUAUUGGACUAACAUGUUGUUUGCCUCCUUUGGACCUGAUGGUCGAGCUCUUCCCUUGGGUGGCCGUACCCACUGGGAACCAUGGAGUUGGUUCUCACCCCACGUUGUUUUGGGGUGUUACAGGUUCACACGUGAGCGGCGCGGCGGCGCGAGGCAAGGGCGUAGCUCCGUAGUUAGCGCCCUACCACUGAGACCAGAUAGCAGCACCCUGAGUCGACUUCUUAGAGGUAUAAAAUGCAAAGAAGCAAGAGUGUGAUAAUUGUAAGAACAAUAUUGUAAUAACUAUGUUAAAACUAAAUUGUAUUUGGAAGUAAGAAUCAAGGAAUCAAAUGUGAUGUAAUCUAAGAAUGCAAAAAUGUAAUAUGUGAGAUGAAUGCUUGUAAUAGCAAGUAGAU